rnacentral:rRNA from 1 species
CUAUGUGUUGUUGGGUAGGGGAGCGUUCUGUAAGCCUGUGAAGGUGUGCUGUGAGGCAUGCUGGAGGUAUCAGAAGUGCGAAUGCUGACAUAAGUAACGAUAAAGCGGGUGAAAAGCCCGCUCGCCGGAAGACCAAGGGUUCCUGUCCAACGUUAAUCGGGGCAGGGUGAGUCGACCCCUAAGGCGAGGCCGAAAGGCGUAGUCGAUGGGAAACAGGUUAAUAUUCCUGUACUUGGUGUUACUGCGAAGGGGGGACGGAGAAGGCUAUGUUGGCCGGGCGACGGUUGUCCCGGUUUAAGCGUGUAGGCUGGUUUUCCAGGCAAAUCCGGAAAAUCAAGGCUGAGGCGUGAUGACGAGGCACUACGGUGCUGAAGCAACAAAUGCCCUGCUUCCAGGAA